GAUGAACGCUGGCGGCGUGCCUAAUACAUGCAAGUCGAGCGAACAGAUGAGGAGCUUGCUCCUCUGACGUUAGCGGCGGACGGGUGAGUAACACGUGGAUAACCUACCUAUAAGACUGGGAUAACUUCGGGAAACCGGAGCUAAUACCGGAUAAUAUAUUGAACCGCAUGGUUCAAUAGUGAAAGACGCUUUUCCUUCCCUUGUUGAUGGGUCCGCGGCGCAUUAGCCAGUUGGUAAGGUAACGGCUUACCAAGGUAACGAUGCGUAGCCGACCUGAGAGGGUGAUCGGCCACACUGGAACUGAGACACGGUCCAGACUCCUACGGGAGGCAGCAGUAGGGAAUCUUCCGCAAUGGGCGAAAGCCUGACGGAGCAACGCCGCGUGAGUGAUGAAGGUCUUCGGAUCGUAAAACUCUGUUAUUAGGGAAGAACAAAUGUGUAAGUAACUAUGCACGUCUUGACGGUACCUAAUCAGAAAGCCACGGCUAACUACGUG
rnacentral:rRNA from 1 species